rnacentral:rRNA from 1 species
AGAGUUUGAUCAUGGCUCAGGAUGAACGCUGGCGGCGUGCUUAACACAUGCAAGUCGAACGAUGAUCCGGUGCUUGCGCCAGGGAUUAGUGGCGAACGGGUGAGUAACACGUGAGUAACCUGCCCUUGACUCUGGGAUAAGCCUGGGAAACUGGGUCUAAUACCGGAUAUGACUCCUCAUCGCAUGGUGGGGGGUGGAAAGCUUUUUGUGGUUUUGGAUGGACUCGCGGCCUAUCAGCUUGUUGGUGGGGUAAUGGCCUACCAAGGCGACGACGGGUAGCCGGCCUGAGAGGGUGACCGGCCACACUGGGGCUGAGACACGGCCCAGACUCCUACGGGAGGCAGCAGUGGGGAAUAUUGCACAAUGGGCGAAAGCCUGAUGCAGCGACGCCGCGUGAGGGAUGACGGCCUUCGGGUUGUAAACCUCUUUCAGUAGGGAAGAAGCCCUCUUUGGGGGUGACGGUACUUGCAGAAGAAGCGCCGGCUAACUACGUGCCAGCAGCCGCGGUAAUACGUAGGGCGCAAGCGUUAUCCGGAAUUAUUGGGCG